rnacentral:rRNA from 1 species
GACGAACGCUGGCGGCGUGCUUAACACAUGCAAGUCGAACGGAAAGGCCCUGCUUUUGUGGGGUGCUCGAGUGGCGAACGGGUGAGUAACACGUGAGUAACCUGCCCUUGACUUUGGGAUAACUUCAGGAAACUGGGGCUAAUACCGGAUAGGAGCUCCUGCUGCAUGGUGGGGGUUGGAAAGUUUCGGCGGUUGGGGAUGGACUCGCGGCUUAUCAGCUUGUUGGUGGGGUAGUGGCUUACCAAGGCUUUGACGGGUAGCCGGCCUGAGAGGGUGACCGGCCACAUUGGGACUGAGAUACGGCCCAGACUCCUACGGGAGGCAGCAGUGGGGAAUAUUGCACAAUGGGCGGAAGCCUGAUGCAGCAACGCCGCGUGCGGGAUGACGGCCUUCGGGUUGUAAACCGCUUUCGCCUGUGACGAAGCGUGAGUGACGGUAAUGGGUAAAGAAGCACCGGCUAACUACGUGCCAGCAGCCGCGGUGAUACGUAGGGUGCGAGCGUCGUCCGGAUUUAUUGGGCGUAAAGGGCUCGUAGGUGGUUGAUCGCGUCGGAAGUGUAAUCUUGGGGCUUAACCCUGAGCGUGCUUUCGAUACGGGUUGACUUGAGGAAGGUAGGGGAGAAUGGAAUUCCUGGUGGAGCGGUGGAAUGCGCAGAUACCAGGAGGAACACCAGUGGCGAAGGCGGUUCUCUGGGCCUUUCCUGACGCUGAGGAGCGAAAGCGUGGGGAGCGAACAGGCUUAGAUACCCUGGUAGUCCACGCUGUAAACGGUGGGUACUAGGUGUGGGGUCCAUUCCACGGGUUCCGUGCCGUAGCUAACGCUUUAAGUACCCCGCCUGGGGAGUACGGCCGCAAGGCUAAAACUCAAAGGAAUUGACGGGGCCCCGCACAAGCGGCGGAGCAUGCGGAUUAAUUCGAUGCAACGCGUAGAACCUUACCUGGGUUUGACAUGGAUCGGGAGUGCUCAGAGAUGGGUGUGCCUCUUUUGGGGUCGGUUCACAGGUGGUGCAUGGCUGUCGUCAGCUCGUGUCGUGAGAUGUUGGGUUAAGUCCCGCAACGAGCGCAACCCUUGUUCACUGUUGCCAGCACGUUAUGGUGGGGACUCAGUGGAGACCGCCGGGGUCAACUCGGAGGAAGGUGGGGAUGACGUCAAGUCAUCAUGCCCCUUAUGUCCAGGGCUUCACGCAUGCUACAAUGGCUGGUACAGAGAGUGGCGAGCCUGUGAGGGUGAGCGAAUCUCGGAAAGCCGGUCUCAGUUCGGAUUGGGGUCUGCAACUCGACCUCAUGAAGUCGGAGUCGCUAGUAAUCGCAGAUCAGCAACGCUGCGGUGAAUACGUUCCCGGG